rnacentral:rRNA from 1 species
AGAGUUUGAUCAUGGCUCAGGAUGAACGCUAGCGGCAGGCCUAACACAUGCAAGUCGAGGGGUAGAGGUUGCUUGCAACCUUGAGACCGGCGCACGGGUGCGUAACGCGUAUGCAACCUACCUUUUACAGGGGGAUAGCCCAGAGAAAUUUGGAUUAAUACCCCAUAGUAUUAUUUGAUGGCCUCAUCAGAUGAUUAAAGUUACAACGGUAAAAGAUGGGCAUGCGUCCUAUUAGCUAGAUGGAGUGGUAACGGUACCCCAUGGCGACGAUAGGUAGGGGUCCUGAGAGGGAGAUCCCCCACACUGGUACUGAGACACGGACCAGACUCCUACGGGAGGCAGCAGUGAGGAAUAUUGGACAAUGGUCGCAAGACUGAUCCAGCCAUGCCGCGUGCAGGAAGACGGCCCUAUGGGUUGUAAACUGCUUUUGUACGGGAAGAAUAAGGACUACGUGUAGUCUGAUGACGGUACCGUACGAAUAAGGAUCGGCUAACUCCGUGCCAGCAGCCGCGGUAAUACGGAGGAUCCAAGCGUUAUCCGGAAUCAUUGGGUUUAAAGGGUCCGUAGGCGGGCUGAUAAGUCAGGGGUGAAAGUUUGCCGCUCAACGGUAAAAUUGCCUUUGAUACUGUCAGUCUUGAAUAACUGUGAAGUGGUUAGAAUAUGUAGUGUAGCGGUGAAAUGCAUAGAUAUUACAUAGAAUACCGAUUGCGAAGGCAGAUCACUAACAGUUCAUUGACGCUGAUGGACGAAAGCGUGGGGAGCGAACAGGAUUAGAUACCCUAGUAGUCC